rnacentral:rRNA from 1 species
CGUGAGCGGCGGACGGGUGGGUAACGCGUGGGUAACCGUGCCUCAUACAGGGGAGUAACAGUUGGAAACGGCUGCUAAUACCGCAUAAGCGCACAGUACCGCAUGGUACGGUGUGAAAAACUCCGGUGGUAUGAGAUGGACCCGCGUCUGAUUAGGUAGUUGGUGGGGUAACGGCCUACCAAGCCGACGAUCAGUAGCCGACCUGAGAGGGUGACCGGCCACAUUGGGACUGAGACACGGCCCAA